GUAGUACGCUGGCGGCGUGCCUAAUACAUGCAAGUCGAACGAACUCUGGUAUUGAUUGGUGCUUGCAUCAUGAUUUACAUUUGAGUGAGUGGCGAACUGGUGAGUAACACGUGGGAAACCUGCCCAGAAGCGGGGGAUAACACCUGGAAACAGAUGCUAAUACCGCAUAACAACUUGGACCGCAUGGUCCGAGCUUGAAAGAUGGCUUCGGCUAUCACUUUUGGAUGGUCCCGCGGCGUAUUAGCUAGAUGGUGGGGUAACGGCUCACCAUGGCAAUGAUACGUAGCCGACCUGAGAGGGUAAUCGGCCACAUUGGGACUGAGACACGGCCCAAACUCCUACGGGAGGCAGCAGUAGGGAAUCUUCCACAAUGGACGAAAGUCUGAUGGAGCAACGCCGCGUGAGUGAAGAAGGGUUUCGGCUCGUAAAACUCUGUUGUUAAAGAAGAACAUAUCUGAGAGUAACUGUUCAGGUAUUGACGGUAUUUAACCAGAAAGCCACGGCUAACUACGUGCCAGCAGCCGCGGUAAUACGUAGGUGGCAAGCGUUGUCCGGAUUUAUUGGGCGUAAAGCGAGCGCAGGCGGUUUUUUAAGUCUGAUGUGAAAGCCUUCGGCUCAACCGAAGAAGUGCAUCGGAAACUGGGAAACUUGAGUGCAGAAGAGGACAGUGGAACUCCAUGUGUAGCGGUGAAAUGCGUAGAUAUAUGGAAGAACACCAGUGGCGAAGGCGGCUGUCUGGUCUGUAACUGACGCUGAGGCUCGAAAGUAUGGGUAGCAAACAGGAUUAGAUACCCUGGUAGUCCAUACCGUAAACGAUGAAUGCUAAGUGUUGGAGGGUUUCCGCCCUUCAGUGCUGCAGCUAACGCAUUAAGCAUUCCGCCUGGGGAGUACGGCCGCAAGGCUGAAACUCAAAGGAAUUGACGGGGGCCCGCACAAGCGGUGGAGCAUGUGGUUUAAUUCGAAGCUACGCGAAGAACCUUACCAGGUCUUGACAUACUAUGCAAAUCUAAGAGAUUAGACGUUCCCUUCGGGGACAUGGAUACAGGUGGUGCAUGGUUGUCGUCAGCUCGUGUCGUGAGAUGUUGGGUUAAGUCCCGCAACGAGCGCAACCCUUAUUAUCAGUUGCCAGCAUUAAGUUGGGCACUCUGGUGAGACUGCCGGUGACAAACCGGAGGAAGGUGGGGAUGACGUCAAAUCAUCAUGCCCCUUAUGACCUGGGCUACACACGUGCUACAAUGGAUGGUACAACGAGUUGCGAACUCGCGAGAGUAAGCUAAUCUCUUAAAGCCAUUCUCAGUUCGGAUUGUAGGCUGCAACUCGCCUACAUGAAGUCGGAAUCGCUAGUAAUCGCGGAUCAGCAUGCCGCGGUGAAUACGUUCCCGGGCCUUGUACACACCGCCCGUCACACCAUGAGAGUUUGUAACACCCAAAGUCGGUGGGGUAACCUUUUAGGAACCAGCCGCCUAAGGUGGGACAGAUGAUUAGGUGAAG
rnacentral:rRNA from 2 species